rnacentral:rRNA from 1 species
GCGAACGCUGGCGGCAGGCCUAACCCAUGCAAGUCGCACGAACUCUUCGGAGUUAGUGGCGGACGGGUGAGUAACACGUGGGAACGUGCCUUUAGGUUCGGAAUAACUCAGGGAAACUUGUGCUAAUACCGAAUGUGCCCUUCGGGGGAAAGAUUUAUCGCCUUUAGAGCGGCCCGCGUCUGAUUAGCUAGUUGGUGAGGUAAAGGCUCACCAAGGCGACGAUCAGUAGCUGGUCUGAGAGGAUGAUCAGCCACAUUGGGACUGAGACACGGCCCAAACUCCUACGGGAGGCAGCAGUGGGGAAUCUUGCGCAAUGGGCGAAAGCCUGACGCAGCCAUGCCGCGUGAAUGAUGAAGGUCUUAGGAUUGUAAAAUUCUUUCACCGGGGACGAUAAUGACGGUACCCGGAGAAGAAGCCCCGGCUAACUUCGUG